rnacentral:rRNA from 1 species
GACGAACGCUGGCGGCGUGCUUAACACAUGCAAGUCGAACGGAAAGGCCCCUUUGGGGGUCCUCGAGUGGCGAACGGGUGAGUAACACGUGAGUAACCUGCCCUUGACUUCGGGAUAACUUCAGGAAACUGGGGCUAAUACCGGAUAGGAAUCCUUGCUGCAUGGUGGGGGUUGGAAAGCUUCGGCGGUUUUGGAUGGACUCGCGGCUUAUCAGCUUGUUGGUGGGGUAGUGGCUUACCAAGGCUUUGACGGGUAGCCGGCCUGAGAGGGCGACCGGCCACAUUGGGACUGAGAUACGGCCCAGACUCCUACGGGAGGAAGCAGUGGGGAAUAUUGCACAAUGGGCGGAAGCCUGAUGCAGCAACGCCGCGGGCGGGAUGACGGCCUUCGGGUUGUAAACCGCUUUCAGCAGGGGCGAAGCUUGUGGUGACGGUACCUGCAGAAGAAGCACCGGCUAACUACGUG